CUGUCAUGCACUCUGCAGCCUUCCCGCUUCCUGUGGUUGUGGCCACUGUGCUGUGGGGAGCAUCCCCCAUCCGGGGGCUCAUUCGAGCGACCUCGGAACACAAUGCCAGCAUGGACUUUGCAGACCUCCCGGCAUUAUUUGGAGCUGCCUUGAGCCAAGAGGGACUCCAGGGGUUCCUUGUGGAGGCUCACCCAGAAAAUGCCUGCAGUCCUAUUGCCCCACCACCCCCAGCCCCGGUCAAUGGGUCAGUCUUUA